rnacentral:rRNA from 1 species
GACGAAUGCUGGCUGCGUGUUUAACACAUGCAAGUCGAACGGUGAACAGGGGCUUGCCCCUGGGAUCAGUGGCGAACGGGUGAGUAACACGUGGGCAACCUGCCCCUCACUCUGGGAUAACUCCGGGAAACCGGGGCUAAUACCGGAUACGACCUGGUGCGACAUCGCACCGGGUGGAAAGAACUUCGGUGAGGGAUGGGCCCGCGGCCUAUCAGCUUGUUGGUGGGGUAACGGCCCACCAAGACGACGACGGGUAGCCGGCCUGAGAGGGCGACCGGCCACACUGGGACUGAGACACGGCCCAGACUCCUACGGGAGGCAGCAGUGGGGAAUAUUGCGCAAUGGGCGAAAGCCUGACGCAGCGACGCAGCGUGAGGGACGAAGGCCUUCGGGUUGUAAACCUCUUUCAGCGGGGACGAAGCGCAAGUGACGGUACCCGCAGAAGAAGCACCGGCUGACUACGUGCCAGCCGCCGCAGUAA